rnacentral:lncRNA from 1 species
GGGGGGGGAUGCAGCACGUCCUUUAUUUAUAAAAGCCGGAGGGUUGGGGGGUGGGGGGGAGCCCGGGGGUGGCCCCGCUCCUGGGGAGCCACCGGCGGGGCUCGGGGGGGGCGGGGGGCGGCUGUCACGUGCGGGCGUUGCGCUCUGUCUCGGCCAAGCACUCCCGCACCAGCGCCCGCGCGUGGAUGAUCCCCCGCUUGAGCCGCUCCAUGGCGCUCUUGCUGCCGGCGUAGGUGGGCCGGAUCUCCCUGCCCAUCUCCUCGAUGACAGAGAGAAGGUCGCUGUAGGUGCUCUGCGAGCCCGGAGCGCCGGGCGGCUUCAUGGCCUGCACAUAGCCCAUGGAGGGCGGCCCGAAGUCGUUGAAGAGCGGGCGGAAGGCGGACGGCGAGGGGACGCUGGGAGCUGCGGGGAGCGACACCGGGUCCGGCCCUCCUUCAGACUGCGUCCAGCCCUCCUCCGGGCCCCGUGCUCCUCCUCAGGCCCGGCGGCCGUGGCGGCGGGCCCCGGGGCGGGGCUGGCGCUGGGGGCGGGCGCGAUGGGUUUGUAGGACAUCCCCGCACCGCUCCCGAGCGGCUCUCCGUCCCGAGCGGCGGCCGCCGUGUGGGGAAGACGGAAG